rnacentral:ncRNA from 1 species
GUUUGGUCCCAGCUUUAUCCCCAACUAUUACUCAACUUACACAUGCAAGUAUCCGCACACCCGUGAAAACACCCUCACCACCUCCAACAGAAAGAGGAGCCGGUAUCAGGCACACUUUAUGCUGCCCACAACACCUAGCCACGCCACACCCCCAAGGGCACUCAGCAGUGAUAGACAUUGCUUAUUAGCGUCAGCUUGAUUCAGUCAGAGUAAACAGGGCCGGCCAAUUCGGUGCCAGCCGCCGCGGCUAUCCCGCUUGGCCCAAGUUGACACUAUCGGCGUUAAGCGUGAUUAAAGUAAUACUAAAACUAGAGUUAAACCUAAACCAAAUUGUAAUACACUUGUCUACAAGAAACCCCCAAACGUAAGCUACUCUACCAACACUUGAAUCCACGACAGUUGGGGCACAAACUGGGAUCAGGUACCCCACUAUGCCCAACCGUAAAAUAUUUACACACAACCUAUAACCGCCAGGGAAUUACGAGACCCCCCCCCCUUAAAACCCAAAGGACUUGACGGUGUCCAACCCACCUAGAGGAGCCUGUUCUAUAAUCGAUACCACCCGAUACACCCAACCACCCCUAGCACUUUCAGUCUGUAUACCUCCGUCGCAAGCUUACCAUGUGAACGCACCAGUGAGCUUAAAGAUCCACACAUCCCCACGUCAGGUCAAGGCGCAACUAACGAGAUGGCAAGCAAUGGGCUACAAUUUCUACAAUAGAAUAUACGAAAAACUGCAUGAAACACAGUCACGAAGGCGGAUUUAGAAGUAAAAAGAAAGCAGAGAGCUCUUUUAAACUUGGCACUAGGACGCGUACACACCGCCCGUCACCCUCCUCAAGCCCUCACAAGAGGAGGCAAGUCGUAACACGGUAAGCGUACUGGAAGGUGCGCUUGGAUAUCAAAAUGUAACUUAACCAAAGAAUUUCACUUACACUGAAAUAGAUGUCAAUUAAUCAGACCAUUUUGAGCCCAACCCACAGCCCACACUCCUAACCACCUGAGACAAAACAAAACAAAACAUUUAUCUCAUCUAGUAACGGCGAUUAAAAAAUUAACACGGAGCUACACAAACAGUACCGCAAGGGAAACCCGAAAUAAAAUGAAAACUCAAGCAAAAAACAGCAAAGACCAACCCCUGUACCUUUUGCAUCAUGAUCUAGCUAGUUCACCCAAGCAAAACGCACUUAAAGUUUGGCCCCCCGAAACUAGACGAGCUACUCUAAAACAGCCCACAGAGCUAACCCAUCCCUGUUGCAAUAGGGUGGAAAGAUUUUAAAGUAGAGGCGACACACCUACCGAGCCUAGAAAUAGCUGGUUAUUUAAUAAACGGAUUUGAGUCCCCCUUUAAGCUUCCCCAGUCUAACUAAACCCCACACAAGCUUAAAAGCCAUUCAAAUAAGGUACAGCCUAUUUGAACUAGGAAACAACCUCCAACACCGGGUAACAACUACAUGUGCGGCCAAGUAGGCCUAAAAGCAGCCAACUUAUAAAAGCGUCCAAGCUUCCCCACAAUCUAUCCCCAAAUUCACCCACUAAUUUAUAACCCCCACCCACUACUAAAUGACCCCAUAUUUGUAUGAGAGACAUUAUGCUAGAACUAGUAACAAGAAGAAGAACUUCUCCAAAAUGUAAAUGUAAACCAAAAUAAACACCCACCGGCCCUUACCGCAUAAUAGUAUUUUCCACCCCCAGAAAACUCUACUAAAUUAAGCGUUAACCUUACACCAGAACAUUACAGGAAAGAUUAAAAGGAGGGGAAGGAACUCGGCAAAUACUGGCCCCGCCUGUUUACCAAAAACAUCGCCUCUUGAUAAUCAUAAGAGGUCCAGCCUGCCCGGUGACAAUAGUUAAACGGCCGCGGUACCCUAACCGUGCAAAGGUAGCACAAUAACUUGUUCUCUAAAUUAGGACUAGUAUGAAAGGCCUCACGAGGGCUACACUGUCUCCCCCUACCAAUCAGUGAAACUGAUCUCCCCGUGAAGAAGCGGGAAUAACCCAAUAAGACGAGAAGACCCUAUGGAACUUUAAACUAGUACCACCCCACUACGCAUACCACACUACCCAGGACAACAUGACUGCUAGUCUUUCGGCUGGGGCGACCAUGGAGAAUAAUAAAACCCCCAAGAUGAAAGGGGCCACCCCCUAAUCCUAGAGCUACUACUCCAAGAAUAAACAAGAACAUAAUUGACCCAAAUCCUUGAUCAACGAACCAAGCUACCCUAGGGAUAACAG